rnacentral:rRNA from 1 species
UACGUAGGGUGCAAGCGUUGUCCGGAAUUAUUGGGCGUAAAGAGCUCGUAGGCGGUUUUGUCGCGUCUGCUGUGAAAACCCGAGGCUCAACCUCGGGCCUGCAGUGGGUACGGGCAAACUAGAGUGCGGUAGGGGAGAAUGGAAUUCCUGGUGUAGCGGUGGAAUGCGCAGAUAUCAGGAGGAACACCGGCGGCGAAGGCGGGUCUCUGGGCCGAUACUGACGCUGAGGAGCGAAAGCGUGGGGAGCGAACAGG